UUUAUAUGGUGAAUAAGAUUUUCAUUAAUCCUCAUCAUAUCUGACUUGGAUAACUAGAUGGAGGUCUGAGGCUGGGUUACUUCAAGGGAACUGUGGUUUUGGACUUCUAAGUAACCAGUGAGGUAUAACAGAAGCUGUUUAGUGCUGGCUUGGUGAAUCUAAGUAUUGGAAUAUCCACCAGCUUUGAGGAUUGUCUGCCCCAUUCUUUGCAGUUCACCUGAAUUGAGUGAUCUCAGCUGGCUCCCCUGGGAUCCUGGUCACGGUAGUGUAAAUAUAUUGGGAAAUUUUCCCAUGUAAAUAAACCCUAAAGCAAACAUGAAUGCAGCUUGCUUCAGAGGUUAUAAGCCAAGAGUGGUAAAAGCUGAACCUUCCCAUGCAAUGGAGAGAAAAGUUAGUUAGUGACCAAGACAAAAUGUGAAAAAUUGCUAUUGUGCAGGAUAAUACUGCUGAGCUAAAUAGACUCCACAGCCUUGUAAAUGACAGAGUAGAAACCAACAGGACAUGGCUGGAAAAGCAAGAAACUAGAACAAAAGUGCGUUCAGAAAUCCCAUUUCAUGUGAUGGGUCUGAGAAAUCGUUUACAAAAAGUUCCAAUGAUGCAAAGCAGCAUUAGUGCGCUCAGGCAACAUCCACAGUCUAUUAGUUUUUCCAACAAUGAAAGAAUAGAGAGGUAUGAAAGGUAAAUAAGCCAACAGAAUGCAAAAUGCACAAGUAUGAGCAAUCUACUGGCCUUUCCCUAGCCCCAGGAUUUCUUCUGCCCUUAUGAAAAAUUGAAAAUAAACAUUGGAGACAGAAAAGCUUAGGAGUUAAGCAUGCAAUGAAAAACAAACAACUCCCCCACUUUAUUUAAUAAAAGAAGAGCUUAAACCAUAAAGCCAAAACUAGGACAAACCAUACAGAGAAAGAUUCUCUGUAUUUUCAAGCCUCAGGUAGGGACUGCAGGCUGACAUCACCCUGAGUAUUCCUGUAUUCACGACAUGACUUGUUUAUUUGAAAUGAAAACCUCAGUGGCAGAUUAGUUUUAAACUAUUUGUGUUUCCCAUUUAGGUUUAAUAUUCUGUAACAAAGUUCAAAAACUGGGACAGAACUUGUACUGAAAAAAGUGAUAGUUUCAACAAGCAGUAAGUUCCCAGCAGUCCAGGUGGAAAUGAGAUUUGCAUAAAUUCCAUUAUGAUUUUAAUGUGUAUUUUUGAUUUUACUUAAUGCCAUGUUUUGCAGCAAUAUAUUGAAUUACAGCUGUGCUGUUUGUGCUAUUAGGUAAGUAGUUUGGGUUCUCUCCUGGAGCCAGGUAAAAUUAUAAGUUUUAUCUCACCAGGAUUUUGAGAAAUAGCCAAUAUAGUUCCUGAAAUGGCAAAAAAAAAAAAACUUCAAAACCUCCUUUAAUUGUCUCCUUUCCAUAGGACAAAAACCACUGGAGGAAUGAGGCCUUAGGAGACAAAUUCUAGGACCAUAAGAUAACCUCGCAUCAGGGCACUACAUAGCAUGUAAACAGGCCAUCAUCUUCAGGGAGUUGCUCAUUGGUCCAGUUUCUCUCAGAAGGCUGAGCCAGAACAGACAUUCCCUUGUGCACUCAGAGGACUCUCAGGACCCAAGAAAGAGGCACAUAGUGCGACAGAUAUGGCAAUUUCCUGCAAUAUACUUGGAAGACCUUAUUGUAUUAACUACGUAUUAUUGUGGGCCAGGAUAGUAUGUAACCUCUCGGUGGGUGACUGCUGGAAGCCAGAAGCUUAAAGUGGCUGUCUUUGGUGGACUCACAUAGGGAGUGGCAUCAAGAGUAGGGGAGCACAGAUGAGCAAUGAGUACUAGUGGGCUAUGCUAAGGGCUCAGAGCCAAAAACUCACUGAGUUUUAAACCUUGUUCCAACACUUACAUAUUGUGUAACUUCGGCAGUCACUUGACUUCUCUGAGACUCUGUUCCCUCAUUCAUGAGAAGGAAUAACUUACCUACAUACCUCACCUGGGGCUUGUGAGGGUUUGCUGACAUUUAUAGUGCUUUAAAAAUGUAAAGUAUUCUAAAUAUUAUUAUUUCCUAGUUCCACUGCUCCCUUGAAGACCCUUCCCAAGCAUUUAUGGAAAUGGGAGAGCCAGCCCCUGUUAAUGCCCUGGAUGGAGAAAGCAUACAAGCUUGCCACCUUUUAAAGAUGGUGGGAAGGCAGGUUGCAGGAUACCAUAAUCUCCCUGAAAGACAAUCAAAGGUAAUUUAGUGUGUCUGUAACCCAAGAACCUUUUAAUGUCAACUGGCAAGAGUGUGCAGAGGGGUUACGUGAAUUUUCUUGGGUUUGCCAUGUAUAUUCUAGUUCAGAGUGUCACAUGAGGUCUCAAAUAAGAGCCAAUAUCACAACAGUCAUCGAUACCAUUGCAAAAUGCAUGUGCAGAUGUUGUGUAAGGAGUUAUGUAUAUACACUGAAAAAUAUGUUCUUACAGGCCUGCUGGUGACUGGUCCCUAGAAACAAAGGUGAAAAACUGGUUUGCUGGCAGACAAGUAAAGUUAAUCUAGAUGAGUGUUUAUAUAUAAAUUAAGUAUUUUGUAAUUCAUAAUGGGUCUAUCAUCUGUCUGAACUGAAAGUUAAUGAAGGAUUGUGGGAACUUCAAAGAAAGAAACUAACAGGAAGAGGAAAAUGGGAGAAGAGAACUAUAUCUUGAGGUACACUACAAAGAUUUUUCUACUAUAUUUAGGAGACACAGAAGAUACCCCUCAUGAAGGAAGUAAAUGGACAGUGAGUUUUCCCUCACAAAAAAAAGUGUUAUCAACCAAGCUGGGCUGAAAAAUGCUGGUGAAAACUUUGAGUGAGAUAAGCUUCCCCAAACAGAAGGUUAUGCGAGUUAAAUUUAGUCUCUAAAAAGCAUGUUUUGGGUUUUUUUAUAUGUAAGCAUUUAUUUCCAAUAUCCUUACUCAUUAUCAAUUUAAUCUCUAUUCUUGGAUAAUAAACUUAUUCUUUUUUUCACUAUAA